GGAUUAGAUACCCUGGUAGUCCACGCCGUAAACGAUGUGCACUAGGCGUUGGGGUGUUGAAACCUCAGUGCCGGAGCUAACGUGGUAAGUGCACCGCCUGGGGAGUAUGCCGGCAACGGUGAAACUCAAAGGAAUUGACGGGGGCCCGCACAAGCGGUGGAGCAUGUGGUUUAAUUCGACGAUACGCGAGGAACCUUACCAGGGCUUGACAUCACCCGGAAGUGGUCAGAGAUGACUAUGCUCUUCGGAGCCGGGUGACAGGUGCUGCAUGGCUGUCGUCAGCUCGUGCCG
rnacentral:rRNA from 1 species